UACGGGGGGGAGCAAGCGUUGUUCGGAUUUACUGGGCGUAAAGGGCGCGUAGGCGGUCGUGACAAGUCACUUGUGAAAUCUCCGGGCUUAACUCGGAACGGUCAAGUGAUACUGUCGGACUAGAGUACAGAAGGGGGCAACUGGAAUUCUCGGUGUAGCGGUGAAAUGCGUAGAUAUCGAGAGGAACACCUGCGGCGAAGGCGGCCACCUGGAUGGUGACUGACGCUGGAGACGCGAAAGCGUGGGGAGCGAACAGG
rnacentral:rRNA from 1 species